ACCAAGCCUUGCUGAGAAUGGAGAAGACAGUUGAUGAAAUACUUUAAACUACCAACAUUAGAGAAAGAUAGAACUUAUAAGAAUGUUUCUCUGAACAGGAUGGUAAGGAAUGUUUUUGUUUUUUUUUUUUUUUGUUUUUUUUUUAAAUUAACCCCCACAAAUCUACAUAUCAGCAAGCUAAGACAAAUCAAACAAACAAAACCCCAACAGUUCUAGAAACUAGAACCCACUCUUCUUAAACCAAGAACAAUACGAGAAAUAACGGGCCUUUGAAAAAACACCUUAUGUUCCACAUGAGGCAGCAUCAGCUGACAAAGCUUAUCAGGCACCAAGCUCCAAAAUGCAUGACAGUCACCAUCCAGGUCUCAUAUGGUGGUGGUGUUGUGGGAUACCUGUCUCUGGGAUGCAGCUUGACUGAUCCCUCUGUGGGAGGCCUCAUGACCCUGUUCACCGCACUUCACAACCGGCCCCAUAUGAAGAACGCUGACAGUUGUUGGGAUAAUUGCAAAAAAAAAAACAAAAAAAAACAAGCAAGAAAGUCUCUGUCAGGCUGUGAUACCUCAGCAUUUCACGUCACAUUCACCAAACUUCGGAAACAGAGGCUGAAAGGACAUCUGCUGCUGCACAGGGUGAACCAGGAGGCAUGGAGGCAUCUGCUUGGAGGAUCUGCCACAUGCUGUCUCCAGAUGAUGCUGUUUGGAAGGGUUGGCUCAGAGCAGCAAACUUUGUUCUUGCACCUGGAUGCGUGCACUGAUUGACAGAAAGGAGGACGGCUGGCAGCACAGAUUUGGCAGCCCAAUAGUGAGUACCAGGAAGGUAAUACCAUAUUUAACAGGACUCCCCUAGCCAUGUGUGAAUCUGUGUUGGCCUUAUUUUAAAAAGUAGAUGUAUUCUUAAAUAUGAAUUAUUUGUAUGAAAGUAGUUUAACUGUAUUUCUCCUAAAAGAGCAAUGUUAUACAAAUAUGAAUUCAUAUUUUGUAAAAUUCUGCAUCAAGUUGUGUUUCCUGUGUAAUUUUAGCAAUCCUUGGAACGACCUCAUUCAGCACGUGUUUUGGUGGAAGUGUUUAUUGUGCAAUGUAUAUAUUGCCACUUUCUCUUUAAAAUUCAGCCACGGACAGAGUGAGGUAAGACAUUACUAAUAAGCCC
rnacentral:lncRNA from 1 species